AUAAAUAAAUGAAUAAAUACCUGCGUACAUUUCGUGCCACAUUUAAUUAUUUAUGCCAACAUUUCAUGGUGUAUUUUUUUAUUUAUUUAAUUUUGUCCGAAAUAUUCCUCCAUAUUUGUGAGCUUGCAAGUGCUAAUGAAAUAAACACGUUCAUGUUCGUCAGGAGAAAAUAAGUACGAUAGGCGUUUUCUGGGCGGGGUUGAGGCUGUAGUUGGGUUCACUGUUUUCAAAUCUGAUAACACUGGAGUGGUGUACUGUAGAAAACGAAACUUAUCGGACAGGAAGUAGAUGAUUAAGGUGCGAACCUUCCUUUCAAACUCAUUGGAAGGCUUGAGAAACAAGUGAAGAUUCAGUGAGUUUGUCCUUUCGUUGAAACACUGAGAAACACAGGACAGAGGAGACUGUUCCAGAGACUGCUCCCAUGGCUCAAAAAGGUCCUUCUUCCGGGACUGCAGGCACUCGUACGGGUGUUGACACGUGUAAUUCCCAGGGAUGCCGCUGCUGCGGGCACAUAUGGAAGGGUGCUGAUAAAUUUCAGAGCACAGCUACAGGAGAACAGUACAACAUCACCCAACAUCUGACAUGCAAGACACCAAGUGUCAUCUACAUCAUCCAGUGUAAAAAAUGUGAAGUGCAGUAUGUUGGGAAGACUGCGUCCACACUGCAAAAAAAGUUCACUGGUCACAGAACUUCCAUCAGAAAGCGCCAACAUCGGCCAAUCUCUGAUCACUUCAACAGAAAUGACCAUCAUCUUGAUCAUCUGAUUAUAUAUCCAAUUGAGCAUGUCAAUGGUUCCAAAGAAUUAGGUGAGAGGGAACUCUACUGGAUCAGAGAGCUUGAUACAAUAAACCAUGGACUAAAUCUGGCGCCAUAUGAAUGUGGUAAGUAAAACAGAUAGGAUUCAUAUGAUUUAGUGAAGGAGGGCUAAAGUGAUUUGGUUGUCCGGCAAAUUGAAUGUAGGUACUGUACAAAUGUGUACAAAAAAUUGAUGCUUUGUAAAUUAUUUCCAAGACACUCGUACAACCAAGAGUUAGUAGUCAUAUGGCAACAUCGAAUAGCAAAUACCACUAUAACAAUGUUAGCCACUUUUUAAAAUCACAUUUCACCAAUUAGAAUUUAAUCUUACAAGUGGUAUAGUCAAAAAAGCACGGAGGACUAAAUGUGCCAAAAUACAUAAUUAAAUAAAUGGGUAAAUAUAAACAAAUAU